CCAUUUUGCAGUUAUUAGUUUCUAUGUUCAAUGUUUAUCUGUCCGUCUUAUUUAAAAAUUUAUGAAAAAAAUAAAAAAAUAAGUCACGCAUAAAGUACUAUUCAUAUUUUAUCAUUCAAUAACGACAAAAAAUAUUAAUCAUAAGAAAAUUUUAAAUAAGACGAAUGGUCAAACGUUGGACGAAGAAAUCUAUAACUGCACAUAGG
rfam:Oryza glumipatula chromosome 3, whole genome shotgun sequence.